GAAAGUGGGGGAUCUUCGGACCUCACGCUAUCAGAUGAGCCUAGGUCGGAUUAGCUAGUUGGUGAGGUAAAGGCUCACCAAGGCGACGAUCCGUAACUGGUCUGAGAGGAUGAUCAGUCACACUGGAACUGAGACACGGUCCAGACUCCUACGGGAGGCAGCAGUGGGGAAUAUUGGACAAUGGGCGAAAGCCUGAUCCACCCAUGCCGCGUGUGUGAAAAAGGUCUUCGGAUUGUAAAGCACUUUAAGUUGGGAGGAAGGGCAGUAAGUUAAUACCUUGCUGUUUUGACGUUACCAACAAAAUAAGCACCGGCUAACUUCGUGCCAGCAGCCGCGGUAAUACGAAGGGUGCAAGCGUUAAUCGGAAUUACUGGGCGUAAAGCGCGCGUAGGUGGUUCGUUAAGUUGGAUGUGAAAGCCCCGGGCUCAAUCUGGGAACUGCAUCCAAAACUGGCGAGCUAGAGUAUGGCAGAGGGUGGUGGAAUUUCCUGUGUAGCGGUGAAAUGCGUAGAUAUAGGAAGGAACACCAGUGGCGAAAGCGACCACCUGGGCUAAUACUGACACUGAGGUGCGAAAGCGUGGGAGAGCAAACAGGAUUAGAUACCCUGGUAGUCCACGCCGUAAACGAUGUCGACUACCCGUUGGGAUCCUUGAUAUCUUAGUGGGCGCAGCUAACGCAUUAAGUCGACCGCCUGGGGAGUACGCGCCGCAAGGUUUAAAAACUUCAAAAUGAAUUUGACGGGGGCCCCGCACAAGCGGGUGAGAGCAUGUGGGUUUUAAUUUCGAAAGCCAACGGCAAAAGACACUCUUCACCCAGGGCCCAUUGGAUCAUUGCCAGAAGAAAUCUUUUUCCCAAGAGGAUGGGAAUU
rnacentral:rRNA from 1 species